rnacentral:rRNA from 1 species
CCUACGGGAGGCAGCAGUGGGGAAUAUUGCACAAUGGGGGAAACCCUGAUGCAGCGACGCCGCGUGAGUGAAGAAGUACUUCGGUAUGUAAAGCUCUAUCAGCAGGGAAGAAAAUGACGGUACCUGAGUAAGAAGCCCCGGCUAACUACGUGCCAGCAGCCGCGGUAAUACGUAGGGGGCAAGCGUUAUCCGGAUUUACUGGGUGUAAAGGGAGCGUAGACGGCAGUGCAAGUCUGGAGUGAAAGUCGGGGGCUCAACCCCCGGACUGCUCUGGAAACUGUACGGCUGGAGUGCAGGAGAGGUAAGUGGAAUUCCUAGUGUAGCGGUGAAAUGCGUAGAUAUUAGGAGGAACACCAGUGGCGAAGGCGGCUUACUGGACUGUAACUGACGUUGAGGCUCGAAAGCGUGGGGAGCAAACAGGAUUAGAUACCCGUGUAGUC